GAUGAACGCUGGCGGCGUGCUUAACACAUGCAAGUCGAACGGAAAGGCUCCUGCUUGCAGGGGUACUCGAGUGGCGAACGGGUGAGUAACACGUGGGUGAUCUGCCCUGCACUUCGGGAUAAGCCUGGGAAACUGGGUCUAAUACCGGAUAGGACCACAUUUUGGAUGGUGUGGUGGAAAGGUUUUCGGUGUGGGAUGAGCUCGCGGCCUAUCAGCUUGUUGGUGGGGUAAUGGCCUACCAAGGCGUCGACGGGUAGCCGGCCUGAGAGGGUGUACGGCCACAUUGGGACUGAGAUACGGGCCAGACUCCUACGGGAGGCAGCAGUGGGGAAUAUUGCACAAUGGGCGCAAGCCUGAUGCAGCGACGCCGCGUGGGGGAUGACGGCCUUCGGGUUGUAAACUCCUUUCGCUAGGGACGAAGCGUUUUUGUGACGGUACCUGGAGAAGAAGCACCGGCUAACUACGUG
rnacentral:rRNA from 1 species